rnacentral:misc_RNA from 1 species
AAUGUCUUUAUUUGAUGUACUUGUGCUUAUUAUAUAGUUGUGAAUUUUAGUUUUACUUGUAUCCAUCAAUAUAUAGUUAUUUUACAAACUUUGCAAGUUUUUCAGAAAAAUUUAUGUAGUGCUAGGCUGUUACCAUUACUAUUACGUUAUGACUGUUAUAGUUCUGUUUCCAUUACCUGCGAUUGCGACUAUGAUUUGAAACCAUGCACCUCACAGAAGUGCCCAUUCCAAAUCAGAACUGGUUCAAAAUUUAAUUAGCUGAGAUUCAGAAGUUGAAAUUUCACCUUGACCGUCAAUAGGUUUAUUUAGGGCUAGACCUUGGCUUGGUCUACUUGAACUUUUAUUUUUUAUGUCUACUUAGAUCCUUUUCUGAUAGAAGUUAGGCACUUGAAAGACACACAAUGUUAAACUUGUGUUGAAGACACAAAAUUUCAUUAUCAUUUUAAAAAAAAGAGAGAAAGAAGAGGUCAAUUUAAUAGUUUUUUAAUUAAAUUUGUUAAAAAAUGAUGCAAUGUAGAACAUAAUAAAAGUUUGUGGACCCUAUGUGAAAAACAAUUAAUGUUCGUUGAUGCAAUGCGGCCAAAUACAACUAUGGGGGCUCAUUAGGAAAAAAAAAAUUGAAAGUUUAGGGAGCAAAAUUUGUUUCUAGUCUAACAAAAAUAAGUUGAAUAAAUGAAUUAGAAAAUUUCAUGAAUCAAAAGAGAUCAUUUUUGCUUUGAAGUUAUAGAAGGUUUUUUUUUUUUUUUUUU